CUUUCUCUGCACAGGGGAAGGAUGAGAAGCUUCGACAAGGUUCGAGCCGAGCGCAGCGAGACAACGCGCUUUAGCGCGGCCCGCAGGGCGAGGAGCAACGCGACGAGUUAUCCUUCCCCCACCACCA
rfam:Chania multitudinisentens RB-25, complete genome.